AGUAAAAGUAUAAAUUGUAUGCUUGAUUUCGGCUCAUGAGGUGGAAGAUUCUUUUCCUUACUUUA
rnacentral:tRNA from 1 species